rnacentral:rRNA from 1 species
AAUACAUUAGUGGCAGACGGGUGAGGAAUAUAGAGGAAUCUACCUAGCAGUAAGGAAUAACUUUGGGAAACCAAAGCUAAUGCCAUAUAUUACCCUACGGGGGAAAGAUUUAUCGCUGUUAGAUGAGCCUCUAUCGGAUUAGCUAGUUGGUAGGGUAAAGGCCUACCAAGGCUACGAUCCGUAGCUGGUCUUAGAGGAUGAUCAGCCACACUGGAACUGAGACACGGUCCAGACUCC